CACAAGCGGAGGAGCAUGUGGUUUAAUUCGAUGAUACGCGAGGAACCUUACCUGGGCUCGAACGUAAGAUGACUGUAGGUGAAAGCUUACAUCUCUUCGGAGCAUUUUACGAGGUGCUGCAUGGUUGUCGUCAGCUCGUGCCGUGAGGUGUCGGGUUAAGUCCCAUAACGAGCGCAACCCUACCUUUAGUUGCCAUCAGGUAAUGCUGGGGACUCUAAAGGAACUGCCUACGCAAGUAGUGAGGAAGGCGGGGAUGACGUCAAAUCAGCACGGCCCUUACGUCCAGGGCUACACACGUGCUACAAUGGCCGAUACAGAGGGCAGCUACCUGGUGACAGGAUGCAAAUCUCCAAAGUCGGUCUCAGUUCGGAUCGGAGUCUGCAACCCGACUCCGUGAAGUUGGAUUCGCUAGUAAUCGCGCAUCAGCCAUGGCGCGGUGAAUACGUUCCCGGGCCUU
rnacentral:rRNA from 1 species